AAGACAACAUAGGUGAAAGAGGUUACUUUGAAAUUCAUACCUGUAAAUGAGAGCUCUUGUUGACAUUUCUUUCCAAUCCUAAUUUCACUGUACGUAGCAAAGCACAAAGGGUGUUGGAGCAUAUGGAAAGCUUGAGCUUUUGUUUGAGAUUCUGUUCACCCAUUCUGACUCUUUGCAGUGAUUUUCACUAUUUAGCAUUUGUGUGCAUUAGGUAAUAUAUUUAGCGUUUCCCGAUUCAAUCCAAUUUAUGUAUGUUUGGCUGCAGACCAGACCUGUGGGCACACAGUAUGGAGUUGUCAUAAAUCUGCCUAUGCUGACUAUAAGUGCUAUACCGCUGCAGUUGAUAGCAUGCUUGCAUGAACAUUUCUGAAUGCUUGCGGAGCAAUACCGCCUAUUCCCAGCAAAUCUCCUAGGGACUAAAUUAAUGUAUCUCAUAUUGUAUUGAUUGUAGCCAAUAAGUGCCUAAAUGAUUUGAUGCGAGGCAGAGAGAUUAUGAAGAGGAGAGGGAAGAGGCAGCUUGAAAGAAAUAUGCGGUUUAAUUACAGGAUGAAUUUCACCAAUCUACCUCCCCCUAGGAAUUUAACAAAUAGGCCUAAGUGCACUUAGCUGUUCUUGACAUCUGUUGAAAUGAUAUCUGCCCGUGAUGAGGGAAUCAUGGGAGUUGGUCUGAGGGUAUUGUCAGGAUCAGUGAGCCACAAGAAACUGCAUUUCUCUCUGCAAAAUUAGAAGAAAAGCCUACAUUAGCAGUUUUAGGUUAAGCUGUAAUGAUUAUGGCUUCUGUAGCAGACUUCCAUUUUCUGAUUUAAUGACACUGGCACUGUCUUUAGAAAGAUGUUAAGUAAAUAUUAAAAAUUAUGUUAAAACAUAAGCAAUGAAAUAUAAGUUCAGGCUGUAAUAAAAAAAAAAAAAAAGGUUGGUGGAAACAACGCCUUCUGAGAGAAACACCCAGGUUUAUAUGUUGUUUUAUUACAUUUUAUACUAUCUUUGAGAGAGACACCCAGGUUUAUACCUUUGUUUUUUAUGGCAUUUUAUUCUAUGUUAUGAAACUCAGAAACUCUUAGGUAAACAGUGGAAAUUGCAUAUAAGACAAGGAACGAAAACUGAAGAUUCACCUUAAAUUCCAUGGGAAGGCAAGGAUAGUGAAGACUGAUGUUGUGUGCUUGCUCAUUUUGAUUACAUCUAUAAUUCAGAAGGAAGUAUAGAUUACUUAGUGCUCUCUACUGCACUUUAUAGUAUUUAUACUAUACCUCUGCAAAGGAGAACUUGGCAAUGCCUUUAAAGUCCUAAGAGACAUAAGUUCCUCUGUAUUAUUUGAAAGCUGCAUUUUCCAGUGCUUGGAGCAUUUAUGUGUAUCACCUCAUAAAUUACUUGAGUUGUAUUCUUUGAAAAGGUGAUAAGCAUAUUUUGGAGGUAGGAACUGAAGGUGAGAUAUGUAUUAUGUUUGCUGAAGCUGCACAUGCGUGCAUUCUGACAAUGCAUUUAGCCUGUGCAAAGACAUAGAAAAAAAAGCCCAGAUUAGGCCUUGGGGGUCAUUUCUUUUAUAUGUAAUGUACAUUCUUUUGCCUACAGUAUUCCUUUCCUGUAACUCCCUUUGGCAAUUAGAAAGCAAGCAUAUUGUUCAUUUGUUCUACUCUAAAGGCCAAAAUAGAAAUGAUGUCCACAGGAAGAUUUUGUUGCUUGUUUUGUUUACAAAUUCAGUAAUAGAGGACAGAAUUUCAGUUUGGCUAACUUUUUUGGAAGCUACUGAAAUCACAUCCAUUUAAAUUCAUGAUGCGCUGCAGUGUUUUACUGUUUUCGCAUAUACUGCAGUGUUGUUAAAUGUUCGAUCGCGUUAAAAUAUUAAAAAAAGAACAACACAGCAAAGCUAACAAAUAAUUGUGUUUCCUCCUGCCAUAAACGUACAGAGCAAUACGUGAUAAAAAUAGAGACAUCAACAUUAACAGUCAGUCUGUUUUAAUGACCAACAUGAAAGCAGUUAAUUUCAUGUUUAGAUUAUUAAAACAGUUUGGCCUCUCAUACUCACUGAGCUUUUUAAUAAGUUUAGCUGUUCUGGGCAAGCAUACAUAAAAAGAUCUAUACAGUACCACUACAUGUACAUAGCAUAUUAUUUCUUUAAAAUGAAACUACAUAAGAAAGCCAGGAGAUGCUCUAGCAACACUAGCCUUUGUACUCCCAUUGGGCAUUCAGGUAGCAACAUCAGCCGCAUCACAGCUCAGUGUGUAGCUCUGCCCAGAGUCAACUAUCUCAUUUGGUGAAUAUAUAGAAUAAAGCCAGCAGCUGUUUCCCUCCUAAGGAUGUGAAGAAAAGAAAGGGUAAGAAAAUUGGAGAAAGCGCAGCAAUGGUAAAUGGUAGCCAUUCUUUUAAUAGCGGAGGUAUUUUCCCCCAAAAUUGAACUUUGAAUUUACAUUAAAAAUUUCGUUUUCAAUCUUGCAGUUGUAAAACUUGGGAUUUGCUCCAAUUUGCUGUGAGGUUUAAUGUCAUCUAAAUGAAAACAAAGGAAUCUGAGAUGGAAGGUUCUUCUUUCCAAACACGCCGUCAUCAUUACUUGGCUUUUAGGAAUAUUUCUCUUUAUUAUCUUAUUUCCCAAUUUUCUGAAGCUGAAUGGUAACCGAUUUCUAAGCUUAGUGUAGAUCUUUUGGCAAUAGGAUCGAUUAGGAUGUCAAUUUGUUUACCCUUAUAUUUAUCCAUGCUUCAUUCUCUUUAAAACUGUAAUAAAAAUAAGAUUGGAAUAUAUGAUUAGUUAUGUAUUUUUUCACUUUUACCUGAAAAUAAGCUACCUACUGUAACUUGUCUUAAAGCAAGUAAAAAAAAAAAAAGAAAGAAAAAAGAAAACUGGUGCAAUAUAUGCUCAUCUAGGCAAAAAUUUUGAAUUCAUUCAAAUCUUGCACUUGUAAUUAGGCAUCUAAAUAUAAUGGCCUGAUUUUUUCAAAGAUGUGAGAACAUUCAAGCAGUGUCUUGCUAAGUUUUGCUGUGCUCUGCAUUUCUGAAAACCAGGCCAUAUACGUAGGUAGCCUAAAUAGAGAUUCAUGAACUAAUUUGAAACUUAAAUAGACUAAAUUACUGAGCCUGUUUCUCCAUUCACAUUACUCUUAAAGGAGAAAAACUGUGACUACUAGCAGGGAUUUUUGUGUUAUUAAAACCAUUGUCAAAACACCAAUAUUUCUGUCUUACUUUUAGAAGUGUUUUUGGUAGCUGUAUAAUGGUCCAAUGUUAUAUUGCCCAAGUUUAAGGCACAAGCUCUAUCCUUUACAUUCCAAACUAUACAAGAAACAUUGUUCAGGUAGAACACUUUCAGUGAAAAUGAAUUAUGUUUGGAUAAUCUCAGAUGGUUGCUCUCCUUAAAGCCAGAGUGUUUAAGGAAAUGCUGCAUGUUGUGAAUCAAAUACAUUUUAUAUUUAACAGAACAUUUUCAACUGUCAAGUCAUGUGUUUCUUUCUCUUUUUAACAGAUAUAAUUUCAUGGCUUACCAGAAACUUGUUUCAGAGGUUAUUUUGCUUUUCUAACUAGAAGAAAUUUAACUGGUUUGGUUAUCAAUUCCUUUUAUCUCUAAAUUUAGAUUUCCC
rnacentral:lncRNA from 1 species